AGCGAACGCUGGCGGCAGGCCUAAACAUGCAAGUCGAGCGCCGUAGCAAUACGGAGCGGCAGACGGGUGAGUAACACGUGGGAACGUACCCUUUGGUUCGGAACAACCCAGGGAAACUUGGGCUAAUACCGGAUAAGUCCGCAAGGAGAAAGAUUUAUCGCCGAAGGAUCGGCCCGCGUCUGAUUAGCUUGUUGGUGGGGUAACGGCCCACCAAGGCGACGAUCAGUAGCUGCUCUGAGAGGAUGAUCAGCCACACUGGGACUGAGACACGGCCCAGACUCCUACGGGAGGCAGCAGUUAGGAAUCUUGGACAAUGGGCGCAAGCCUGAUCCAGCCAUGCCGCGUGAGUGAUGAAGGCCCUA
rnacentral:rRNA from 1 species